UACAGAGGUCUCAAGCGUUGUUCGGAUUCAUUGGGCGUAAAGGGUGUGUAGGUGGCGCGCUAAGUCGGGUGUGAAAUUUCGGAGCUUAACUCCGAAACUGCAUUCGAUACUGGCGUGCUUGAGGACUGGAGAGGAGGCUGGAAUUUACGGUGUAGCGGUGAAAUGCGUAGACAUCGUAAGGAAGACCAGUGGCGAAGGCGGGUCUCUGGACAGUUCCUGACGCUGAGGCACGAAGGCCAGGGGGAGCAAACGGG
rnacentral:rRNA from 1 species